rnacentral:rRNA from 1 species
GAUGAACGCUGGCGGCGUGCCUAAUACAUGCAAGUCGAGCGAACAGACGAGGAGCUUGCUCCUCUGACGUUAGCGGCGGACGGGUGAGUAACACGUGGAUAACCUACCUAUAAGACUGGGAUAACUUCGGGAAACCGGAGCUAAUACCGGAUAAUAUAUUGAACCGCAUGGUUCAAUAGUGAAAGACGGUUUUGCUGUCACUUAUAGCUGGAUCCGCGCCGCAUUAGCUAGUUGGUAAGGUAACGGCUUACCAAGGCGACGAUGCGUAGCCGACCUGAGAGGGUGAUCGGCCACACUGGAACUGAGACACGGUCCAGACUCCGACGGGAGGCAGCAGUAGGGAAUCUACCGCAAUGGGCGAAAGCCUGACGGAGCAACGCCGCGUGAGUGAUGAAGGUCUUCGGAUCGUAAAACGCUGUUAUUAGGGAAGAACAAAUGUGUAAGUAACGAUGCACGUCUUGACGGUACCUAAUCAGAAAGCCACGGCUAACUACGU